rnacentral:rRNA from 1 species
AUUGAACGCUGGCGGCAGGCCUAACACAUGCAAGUCGAGCGGAUGAAGGGAGCUUGCUCCUGGAUUCAGCGGCGGACGGGUGAGUAAUGCCUAGGAAUCUGCCUGGUAGUGGGGGAUAACGUCCGGAAACGGGCGCUAAUACCGCAUACGUCCUGAGGGAGAAAGCGGGGGAUCUUCGGACCUCACGCUAUCAGAUGAGCCUAGGUCGGAUUAGCUAGUUGGUGGGGUAAAGGCCUACCAAGGCGACGAUCCGUAACUGGUCUGAGAGGAUGAUCAGUCACACUGGAACUGAGACACGGUCCAGACUCCUACGGGAGGCAGCAGUGGGGAAUAUUGGACAAUGGGCGAAAGCCUGAUCCAGCCAUGCCGCGUGUGUGAAGAAGGUCUUCGGAUUGUAAAGCACUUUAAGUGGGGAGGAAGAGCAGUGAGUUAAUACCUUGCUGUUUUGACGGUACCAACAGAAUAAGCACCGGCUAACUUCGUG